rnacentral:misc_RNA from 1 species
AAAUAAUUUAUAUAGUUAUUUAACAUUUCAAUAAAUAUUAUGAAUUUGAAUAUGCUAUCCUCUCUUUAUAAACAUUUUGAUAUGCAACAACAAAAAAAUAAUAAAAACAGUACAAUAAUUCAGCAUAUAACUGUGUAUCGAAUUUGACUUUUUUUUCCCUUAAAGAAAGCUAAUGUGUGGUGCAAAUAUCAGGUGAUAGAGUCCAAAUAACACCACCCAUAAUUUUCUCUAGCAAGUAAUACAUGAUUAUAUAAUAAUUUUUAUAACCAUAUAAAAUUAUCAUAAUUAAUGAUGAAAGUCUACCCGCAUACAUAUAGCAGUUAUAUGGAUCCAGAGAAGAAUUUCCCCAUAGUUGGCGUCAUUUAUUAAUUGGUAGCAGCAUAAAGGGGUGGAGGAAGGCGUGGCGUAAGAAGAACAUCCACAGGGGUGGCUUUGAGGUUGCUCAUUCCAGCACUCUCACUCAUAUCAACUGGUUGGCCUGAAUGAGUUUCAAUUUCGAAAGAAUGUAACAAAGUAGCAAGUGUAAGGUUCAAAACUUGAAGAGCAAAUGAGAUUCCAGGACAAAUUCUUCUUCCACUGCCGAAUGGUAGUAGCUCAAAAUUCUGGCCCUUAAAAUCAACAUCCUUGUGGGUUGUGAGAAACCUCUCUGGUAUAAACUCUGAAGGAUUCAACCACACUCGUGAAUCUCUAUGAAUUUUUGAAACAUUUACAAUAAGGCGUGUACCUGCUGGAAUGUGAUAGCCUCCUACACUGCAAUCUUCUAUGGAUUCAUGUGGCAUCGAUAAUGGAGCAGCAGGAUACAACCUAAACGAUUCUUUGAUGAUGGCUUGAAGGUAAACCAAAUCCUUCAUGUCUGAUUCCAUCACUUGCCUUUCUCUACCGACAAGGGUGUCCAAUUCUUGUUGUGCUUUCUUUAGGACAUGGCGAUUGUUGAGUAGUAAUGACAAAGUCCAAGUUAGCGUCACCGAUGUAGUGUCUGAAGCUGCUAGAAUUAUAGCCUGCAUGAAUCAGAGAAACUGUAGCAUUCAGAACAAAUAAAACAUCGAUCUUUCACUAAUUUAAUAUGUUCAUGUAAAUAUCUCUAUACCAGGCAGGUAGAUUUGUUGAUAGUAUCAACAUCUCGGUUAGAAAGCUCUUUUGCGUCUUGCAGGAUUGACAAUAACACAUCCAUGAAGUCUUCUCCUCCCCCCUUAUAUACCACGCCCGAAGCUCUCUUCUGCUUGUGUUCGUGCAACCAUCCUCCAAUUAUAUUGUCCAGCUCUUUUGCAGUCUUCUUCAUCUCCUUCUCAUCCCCGCCAAAAUCUAGCCACCUUAGGAAUGGAAACGCAUCUGACACUACAAACUUCCCCAUGAGUUUGGAAAAAGCUCUCAGUGCUGAUCUCCAGUCAUCAUCACUAUCUCUACCUUCAUCGCCUUUAUUACACUCUACAAAUCUCUUCCCUACAACUAUCUUGAAUACCACAUUUUGAUUUACUUCGAAAAACCAUCUCUUCAUCUCCACCAAAAGUUUGUCCGAAUCAUUUUUGUUCUUGAUCCAUUGCUGGUAUAAUCCUUCGAUGGCUACUUUAACCUCCGCCUUUCGCACAUGUUUGAGCUUCUCUAGCCGAUGAUUUGAGAGAACCUCAAGAGUGACAAUCUUGCGAAUUUGGCGCCAGUAUUCUCCAUAUGGGCUGGUGCCAAACAUGUAAUAAUUAUAGCCCAAUAUUUCCAUGGCCAGAGAUUUAGGACGAUUGGCAAAAGCUUUGUCGUUCGUUGUAAGGCAAUCCCUUGCCAACUCCCAACUAUUUACUACCAAAGCGCGAUGCACACCAAGCUUGAUAGUGAAAAUUGGUCCCAUCUGGUCAGCCAAGUUUCCGAGGAUUAUGUGAGGUGGCUGUGACCCAGCUAAGAGAUGGAGGUGGCCAAUAACAGGCCAUCCACCGGCGGCUUCUGGUGGUAGUCUCUGCUUAUUGGAUGCUUUUCUUGAUAUCCAAAACAAAUAGAUGAGCGGUGUUAUGAGGUGUAGUAUGAUGACCAUGGCACUGACUGAGAAUGAAAAAAGGGACUCCAUUGUUGAUUUCUAAUUUUAGGUGGUGAGUGUUACUG